GGGAAAGUAGCUCAGUGGUAGAGUGCAUGCCUUGCAAGCAUGAGCCCUGGGUUCGAUUCCUCAGCACCA
rfam:Dipodomys ordii contig_11423, whole genome shotgun sequence.